UCUCCUUACGUCACUUCCUCUCCAGCCCCUGCGUAAUCGAUAAGGAAACCCGGACGCUGCUGCAGCUUUCUUUUUUUCAGGCGGCCGGGAAGAUGGCGGACAUUCAGACUGAGCGUGCCUACCAAAAGCAGCCGACCAUCUUUCAAAACAAGAAGAGGGUCCUGCUGGGAGAAACUGGCAAGGAGAAGCUCCCGCGGUACUACAAGAACAUCGGUCUGGGCUUCAAGACACCCAAGGAGGCUAUUGAGGGCACCUACAUUGACAAGAAAUGCCCCUUCACUGGUAAUGUGUCCAUUCGAGGGCGGAUCCUCUCUGGUAAGUGCGGGGGUUACUGGUGUCUGGGGCCUGAAAUACUGAAAGAAGGGUCUUGGGGCCCAGACUCCUGGGUCCUGGGUGAGAGGGGUGGUUAGGAAUGCAAACUUGUAGGUCUAGGUAAAUUGGCAGAUGAUGUCUGUUUUCACGAUGGUCUUCAGAUGCCCACGUGGGCACUGCUGAGAAAGCCACUUGGUAAAACUGAUGCCGGAAAUGGGGCUUUUUGGGAUCCCAGCUCAGCUGCUUCUGAGUCCCAGCAUGCCCUGGGUUACCUGUGGCCCUCUUUCCCAUGGGACCUGACCUGUGAUCGGCCCCCGCUCCUAGGCGUGGUGACCAAGAUGAAGAUGCAGAGGACCAUUGUCAUCCGCCGAGACUAUCUGCACUACAUCCGCAAGUACAACCGCUUCGAGAAGCGCCACAAGAACAUGUCUGUACACCUGUCCCCCUGCUUCAGGGACGUCCAGAUCGGUGACAUCGUCACAGUGGGUGAGUGCCGGCCUCUGAGCAAGACAGUGCGCUUCAACGUGCUCAAGGUCACCAAGGCUGCCGGCACCAAGAAGCAGUUCCAGAAGUUCUGAGGCUGGACAUCGGCCCGCUCCCCACAAUGAAAUAAAGUUAUUUUCUCAUUCCCA
rnacentral:sRNA from 1 species